rnacentral:rRNA from 1 species
UGGGGAAUCUUGGACAAUGGGGGCAACCCUGAUCCAGCCAUGCCGCGUGAGUGAUGAAGGCCUUAGGGUCGUAAAGCUCUUUCGCCUGUGAAGAUAAUGACGGUAGCAGGUAAAGAAACCCCGGCUAACUCCGUGCCAGCAGCCGCGGUAAUACGGAGGGGGUUAGCGUUGUUCGGAAUUACUGGGCGUAAAGCGCACGUAGGCGGACCAGAAAGUUGGGGGUGAAAUCCCGGGGGCUCAACCCCGGAACUGCCUCCAAAACUAUUGGUCUAGAGUUCGAGAGAGGUGAGUGGAAUUCCAAGUGUAGAGGUGAAAUUCGUAGAUAUUUGGAGGAACACCAGUGGCGAAGGCGGCUCACUGGCUCGAUACUGACGCUGAGGUGCGAAAGUGUGGGGAGCAAACAGGAUUAGAUACCCUGGUAGUCCACACCGUAAAACGAUGAAUGCCAGUCGUCGGGUAGCAUGCUAUUCGGUGACACACCUAACGGAUUAAGCAUUCCGCCUGGGGAGUACGGCCGCAAGGUUAAAAACUCAAAGG